rnacentral:lncRNA from 1 species
AUGUCGGAUGUUCAGAAAGUGACGUCACCCAAAAUUUUUUUCUCUUGACGUCAUCGAUCUAAAAUCAGCUAGUUGAAUUCCUCAGUCUGGGAACAACCGCGCAAUAGAGCGGGCGGAUGAGAAUCGCGCUCCGCAGAUUUCGAGUGCCGGGUUCUCUACCUCCUGGAUCCUGCGCUCCGGGUCCGCUUCCUGGUACAACUCGACAUCCAGGAAAAGCGCUCCGUAGUUUCUGCGCUCAAGGUCCACUACCAGCAGGAACUUGACUUCCAGGACAAGUGCUCCGUAGUUCUGGCUGUCCAGGCCCACUACCUGCAGGAACUAGACUUGCAGGUCAAGCGCUCCGUGUGUCCUGCGCUUCAGGACGAACGCUGCGUGGUUCCUGCGCUCCAGGUUCACUACCUGGUGAAACUCGACUUCCAGGACGAACGCUCCGUGGUUUCUGCGCACCAGGUCCGCUACCUGGUAAAACUCAACUUCCAGGACAAGCGCUCCGUAGCUUCUGCGCUCCAAGUCCACUACCUAAUGAAACUCGACUUCAGGGACAUGUGGUGAAUAAGGAGGAAGAGGACGAGGAUUUCUGCUCAGUAUAACCCGAGGUGAUUGGAGGUGGUUGGAGGUGGCCGGAGGUGAACGAGGAGGAGGACGAGGAAGACAAGGAGAACGAGUUGGACGACAAGGACGAGGAUUUGUGCUCGGUACAACCCGAGGUGGUUAUCGGUGGUUGUUC